UACGUAGGGGGCAAGCGUUGUCCGGAUUUAUUGGGCGUAAAGAGCUCGUAGGCGGUUCCGUAAGUCGAGUGUGAAAAAUCUGGGCUCAACCCAGUGGAGCACUCGAUACUGCGGUGACUGGAGUACGGUAGAGGAGUGUGGAAUUCCUGGUGUAGCGGUGAAAUGCGCAGAUAUCGGGAAGAACACCCGUGGCGAAGGCGGUUCUCUGGGACGGUACUGACGCUGAGACGCGAAAGCGUGGGGAGCGAACAGG
rnacentral:rRNA from 1 species